AUUGAACGCUGGCGGCAGGCCUAACACAUGCAAGUCGAGCGGAUGAAGGGAGCUUGCUCCUGGAUUCAGCGGCGGACGGGUGAGUAAUGCCUAGGAAUCUGCCUGGUAGUGGGGGAUAACGUCCGGAAACGGGCGCUAAUACCGCAUACGUCCUGAGGGAGAAAGUGGGGGAUCUUCGGACCUCACGCUAUCAGAUGAGCCUAGGUCGGAUUAGCUAGUUGGUGGGGUAAAGGCCUACCAAGGCGACGAUCCGUAACUGGUCUGAGAGGAUGAUCAGUCACACUGGAACUGAGACACGGUCCAGACUCCUACGGGAGGCAGCAGUGGGGAAUAUCGGACAAAGGGCGAAAGCCUGAUCCAGCCAUGCCGCGUGUGUGAAGAAGGUCUUCGGAUUGUAAAGCACUUUAAGUUGGGAGGAAGGGCAGUAAGUUAAUACCUUGCUGUUUUGACGUUACCAACAGAAUAAGCACCGGCUAACUUCGUG
rnacentral:rRNA from 1 species